rnacentral:rRNA from 1 species
CCUACGGGGGGCAGCAGUAGGGAAUAUUGGACAAUGGGGGCAACCCUGAUCCAGCAAUGCCGCGUGAGUGAUGAAGGCCUUAGGGUUGUAAAGCUCUUUUACCCGAGAUGAUAAUGACAGUAUCGGGAGAAUAAGCUCCGGCUAACUCCGUGCCAGCAGCCGCGGUAAUACGGAGGGAGCUAGCGUUGUUCGGAAUUACUGGGCGUAAAGCGCACGUAGGCGGCGAUUUAAGUCAGAGGUGAAAGCCCGGGGCUCAACCCCGGAACUGCCUUUGAGACUGGAUUGCUUGAAUCCUGGAGAGGUGAGUGGAAUUCCGAGUGUAGAGGUGAAAUUCGUAGAUAUUCGGAAGAACACCAGUGGCGAAGGCGGCUCACUGGACAGGUAUUGACGCUGAGGUGCGAAAGCGUGGGGAGCAAACAGGAUUAGAUACCCCUGUAGUCGC